AUACAAAUCACCUAGAAAUAGUGUUAAAAUGGAGAUUCUGAUUCAGAAGUUCAAGGAUGGAGCUUGAGAUUCUGCAUUUCUAACAAGCUCCCAGGUGAUGCCAAU
rnacentral:pre_miRNA from 1 species